rnacentral:rRNA from 1 species
CGGGGAAUCUUGGACAAUGGGCGCAAGCCUGAUCCAGCCAUGCCGCGUGAGUGAAGAAGGCCUUCGGGUUGUAAAGCUCUUUUACCAGGGACGAUAAUGACGGUACCUGGAGAAUAAGCCCCGGCAAACUUCGUGCCAGCAGCCGCGGUAAUACGAAGGGGGCUAGCGUUGUUCGGAAUUACUGGGCGUAAAGCGCGUGUAGGUGGUCGAGUAAGUCGAAUGUGAAAGCCCCGGGCUCAACCCGGGAAGUGCAUCCGAAACUGUUCGACUAGAGUCCCGGAGAGGAAGGCAGAAUUCCCAAUGUAGGGGUGAAAUCCGUAGAUAUUGGGAGGAAUACCGGUGGCGAAGGCGGCCUUCUGGACGGUGACUGACACUCAGACGCGAAAGCGUGGGGAGCAAACAGGAUUAGAUACCCGGGUAGUCCCUGAGCGGGCUGGCAAGGCGCAU